UACGAGGGGAGCAAGCGUUGUUCGGAUUUACUGGGCGUAAAGGGCGCGUAGGCGGUUAAUUAAGUUAGUUGUUAAAUCUCCGAGCUUAACUCGGAACAGUCAACUAAUACUGAUAAACUAGAGUGCAGAAGAGGCAACCGGAAUUCUUGGUGUAGCGGUGAAAUGCGUAGAUAUCAAGAGGAACACCUGUGGCGAAGGCGGGUUGCUGGGCUGACACUGACGCUGAGGCGCGAAAGCUAGGGUAGCAAACGGG
rnacentral:rRNA from 1 species